UAUUUAAACAGGGUGACUAGAGUUACACGAAGUAAUUUUCAUCUAGGCCCUCAAAAGUCGACGUCAGAAAAUACGAUGGUGUCUCGAUUUUGAUCCGUCACUGUAGCCACUAUCCUUAUAGGUUAAGGAUAAAAUAUCAACCAAAUGUGGCGAGUGUGUUGCAUCAUAGUAUGGUUGCAUGUAUUUUAUUAGAAAACAGGUGAAUUGAAUUGUAACUAAUAAUGACGGG